UAGGGAAUCUUCCACAAUGGGCGCAAGCCUGAUGGAGCAACACCGCGUGAGUGAAGAAGGGUUUCGGCUCGUAAAGCUCUGUUGUUGGAGAAGAACGUGCGUGAGAGUAACUGUUCACGCAGUGACGGUAUCCAACCAGAAAGUCACGGCUAACUACGUGCCAGCAGCCGCGGUAAUACGUAGGUGGCAAGCGUUAUCCGGAUUUAUUGGGCGUAAAGCGAGCGCAGGCGGUUGCUUAGGUCUGAUGUGAAAGCCUUCGGCUUAACCGAAGAAGGGCAUCGGAAACCGGGCGACUUGAGUGCAGAAGAGGACAGUGGAACUCCAUGUGUAGCGGUGGAAUGCGUAGAUAUAUGGAAGAACACCAGUGGCGAAGGCGGCUGUCUGGUCUGCAACUGACGCUGAGGCUCGAAAGCAUGGGUAGCG
rnacentral:rRNA from 1 species